AGAGUUUGAUCAUGGCUCAGGACGAACGCUGGCGGCGUGCUUAACACAUGCAAGUCUUACGAGAAAGGGGUAGCAAUAUCCCGAGUACAGUGGCGCACGGGUGAGUAACACGUAGGCAAUCUGCCUUUAGGACGGGGACAACCUCGAGAAAUCGAGGCUAAUACCCGAUAAUGCAGCGGCACCGCAUGGUGAUUGUUGUUAAAGGCCCGCAAGGGCGCCUAUUGAUGAGCCUGCGUCCCAUUAGGUAGUUGGUGAGGUAACGGCCCACCAAGCCAACGAUGGGUAGCUGGUCUGAGAGGACGAUCAGCCACACUGGGACUGAGACACGGCCCAGACUCCUACGGGAGGCAGCAGUGGGGAAUAUUGGACAAUGGGCGCAAGCCUGAUCCAGCAAUACCGCGUGUGUGAAGAAGGCCCUAGGGUUGUAAAGCACUUUCAAUGGGGAGGAAAACCUGCCGGUCAAUACCCGGCAACUUGACAUUACCCAUAGAAGAAGCACCGGCUAACUCCGUGCCAGCAGCCGCGGUAAUACGGAGGGUGCGAGCGUUAAUCGGAAUUACUGGGCGUAAAGCGUGCGUAGGCGGUUCGUUAAGUCAGAUGUGAAAGCCCCGGGCUCAACCUGGGAACUGCAUUUGAUACUGGCGGACUAGAGUUUAGUAGAGGGGAGUGGAAUUUCAGGUGUAGCGGUGAAAUGCGUAGAUAUCUGAAGGAACACCAGUGGCGAAGGC
rnacentral:rRNA from 1 species